rnacentral:rRNA from 1 species
AACGAACGCUGGCGGCAUGCCUAACACAUGCAAGUCGAACGAGACCUUCGGGUCUAGUGGCGCACGGGUGCGUAACGCGUGGGAACCUGCCCUUAGGUUCGGAAUAACUCCCCGAAAGGGGUGCUAAUACCGGAUAAUGUCUUCGGACCAAAGAUUUAUCGCCUUUGGAUGGGCCCGCGUUGGAUUAGCUAGUUGGUAGGGUAAAAGCCUACCAAGGCGACGAUCCAUAGCUGGUCUGAGAGGAUGAUCAGCCACACUGGGACUGAGACACGGCCCAGACUCCUACGGGAGGCAGCAGUGGGGAAUAUUGGACAAUGGGCGAAAGCCUGAUCCAGCAAUGCCGCGUGAUUGAUGAAGGCCUUAGGGUUGUAAAGCUCUUUUACCCGGGAUGAUAAUGACAGUACCGGGAGAAUAAGCUCCGGCUAACUCCGUG